rnacentral:rRNA from 1 species
CAGAGUGCUCAAAGCAGUCGUAAAGGGUUUCGGCCCUGUGAUAAGUCUUGACGGACUGUCUUGAUUUUGCAUGGUAUGUCGGAAAACGACGUCGAGUGCUGGCUCAGAGUCUAUAGAAGUGGUUUCAAGCCAAAGCCUCGACGUAAUGAUUAAAAGGAACGGUCGAGGGCAUUGGUAUUGCGAGGCGAGAGGUGAAAUUCUAUGACCCCCGCAAGACCACCUGAAGCGAAAGCGUCUGCCAAGGACGUUUUCAUUAAUCAUGAACGAAAGUUAGAGGAUCGAAGGCGAUCAGAUACCGCCCUAGUUCUGACCCUAAACGAUGCCAACCAUCAAUCCGCGUGAGCACCCUUUUUGACGGGCUCGGCGGGCAGCUCUCUUUUCACGGGAAACCAGAGUCUCUGGGUUCCGGGGGGAGUCUGGUUGCAAAGCUGAAACUUAAAGGAAUUGACGGAAAGGCACCACCAGGAGUGGAGCCUGCGGCUUAAUUUGACUCAACACGGGCCAUCUCACCAGGCCAGAACUCUAGCACGAUUGACAGAUUGAGAGCUCUUUCUCGAUUGAGUGGAUGGUGGUGCAUGGCCGUUCUUAGUUGGUGGAGUGAUCUGUCUGGUUAAUUCCGAUAACGAACGAGACUCUCCCCUGCUAACUAGUCGGUUGGAUCUUGUAUUUCGAUGCGAGUCGUGCGCCGGGUUUUCCUUCGCCUAGCGGCUGCGGUGCGAGCUUCUCCUGCUCUGCGCUGGGUGUGUGCGUGUGCGUUCUCUCUCUCUGGCAUUUCGCUCGUGUGCGUUUGCGUCCGCUUUCGCGCGCUUGUGUGUGUUGGGGAGGUGAGGCGUGCGCGUGCGCUCUGGCGUGGGGUGGGGUUCUCUGCCGUUCUCGUUGCUUGGUGUGUCUGGUUUUCCCGGGUCGUACACUCCAAGUCCGCCGCUUAUGCUAUAAAACUCUUCUUAGAGGGAUCAACGGCUCUGAAGCCGUACGAGACUGAGAGCAAUAACAGGUCUGUGAUGCCCUUAGAUGUUCUGGGCCGCACGCGCGCUACAAUGCCGGGCACAGCAGGUUUUUUCCCUACUCCGAAAGGAGCGGGCAACCCUCUGAAAGCCCCUUCUCAUCAAAUGUAUCGGCCGGCGAGCAAUCGUCGGUCGUGUGUAUUGGCGUGCUUGGGCCUGGGGCUUGCAAUUCUUUCCCACAAACGAGGAAUGCCUAGUAGCGGCGG